CGAAAGCCUGACGGAGCAACGCCGCGUGCGGGAGGAAGGCCUUAGGGUUGUAAACCGCUUUUCUCAGGGAAGAAGCUCUGACGGUACCUGAGGAAUCAGCCUCGGCUAACUCCGUGCCAGCAGCCGCGGUAAUACGGAGGAGGCAAGCGUUAUCCGGAAUUAUUGGGCGUAAAGCGUCCGCAGGUGGCGAUUCAAGUCUGCUGUCAAAGCACGGGGCUUAACUCCGUUAAGGCAGUGGAAACGGAAUGGCUAGAGUGCCGUAGGGGUAGAGGGAAUUCCCGGUGUAGCGGUGAAAUGCGUAGAUAUCGGGAAGAACACCAGUGGCGAAGGCGCUCUACUGGACGGCAACUGACACUCAGGGACGAAAGCUAGGGGAGCG
rnacentral:rRNA from 1 species